UUUAACGGCCGCGGUAUCCUGACCGUGCAAAGGUAGCGCAAUCAAUUGUCCCAUAAAUCGGGACCAGUAUGAAUGGCUAAACGAGGUCUUAACUGUCUCUUACAGGCAAUCGGUGAAAUUAAUCUCCCUGUGCAAAAGCAGGGAUAAACCCAUAAGACGAGAAGACCCUGUGGAACUUUAAAAUCAGCGACCACCCUAACGAACAUACACACCCAACACGGGCUCACUCAUCCGUUAAGCCACUGGUCCGCAUUUUUUCGGUUGGGGCGACCUUGGAGCAAAACAAAACCUCCAAACACUGGACCACACCUCCAGACCAAGAGCAACACCUCAAAGUGCUAAAAGCACCCAGAUCCAAUAUAAUUGAUCAAUGGACCAAGCUACCCCAGGGAUAACAGCGCAAUCUCCUCCAAGAGUCCAUAUCGACGGGGAGGUUUACGACCUCGAUGUUGGAUCAGGACAUCCUAGUGGUGCAGCCGCUACUAA
rnacentral:rRNA from 1 species